GCGGAAGUGGCGAAAAUGGUAGACGCACCAGAUUUAGGUUCUGGCGCCGCAAGGCUUGCGAGUUCAAAUCUCGCUUUCCGCA
rnacentral:tRNA from 2 species